ensembl:rRNA 5S_rRNA 5S ribosomal RNA
GUCUUCGGCCAUACCACCUUGAAUGCGCCCCAUCUCGUCUGAUCUCGGAAGCUAAGCAGGGUUGGGCCUGGUUAGUAUUUAGAUGGGAAUAUUUUAUUUAUUUACUUGACAGAUAGCACAAGUAAGCGGAGUGG